UAGCCAUAUCAUGUUGAGACACCGGUUCUCAUCUGAUCACUGAAGUUAAGCAACACUGAGUUUAGUCAGUACCUAGAUGGGUAACCACUUGGGAAUACUAGGUGCUGUAAG